GAGAUCUCCAAAAGAUGUGCGGGCAGGUGGGAUGGGCCGUGCCGUGUCCCCAUGUCCAUGUCCUCCUGCUGCUGGUGUUUGGUGAGUUGGGGCUGCUUUGGGUAGCAGGGAACCCUGCUUGGAGGAAGAAGCCCAGCACAAAGAGGCUUGAGGUGGUGCCGAGGGUGGAGGUAGAGUACAUGUGGGAUGGAGUCUUGCACCAAAAGCAUGAUUUUGGAAGUAGAGGAGACUGCAUCUGGAAAAGAAAACCCAUUCCAAAAUGGAUUUAGGCUUGCUCAAAUGGAGACAGUGGCGACAAAGGAAGGGGAUACACUUGUGGAGUGGUGACUGCUGAAGACUGGAGACAUGGACAGAAACAUGUGGGUGUGCAGGACACUGUCCCUCUAACCAAACCCCUCUCUGCUCCACGGUGCAGGUACUGCUGUGAGCACCCAGGACAUCUGCAGUUCCACAGCUGGUGGUGAGUGUGAGCAUGGGUCCAGAAAUUGAAGACAUGGUGGGGGAGGAGAUGGAAAGAGAGAAAGGCUUUAUUGCCUCUGAAUUCCCAAAAUCCACCCCAAGACGGCAGAUUCUCCAUGACUAGAAAUGCAGUGUGUUUUGCAACUAAUGAUGCUGGUGGAAUCCCUGUGCCAUCUCUCCAGGUACUCUCCAGGCUCCACUCCUGGUCCUUAACGCUUCCAGAGCUCAGGAAGGGGAAAUCGUCCUGGCUCAAUGUGUCCUUCAGAAGAUGGUUCCUGCUGUGCGAAUUGUCUUCUGCAAGGAUGGGAUGGAGUUUUACAGCAUGAAAGCCCAACAGCAUACGGUCAUCAACUCCAUGCUGCUGAACAUCUCUGCAAGAAGCAGUGGGACAUACACGUGUGCGUACCAGCAGAGGAAUGAAGAAAAGUCACUGGAAAAGUCUACCCUCAGCGCUCCGUUGGACCUGCAGGUCACAGGUGGGACUUGACACCAGGGUGGUGGGGACAUAGGGGAUGGGGAGUAAUUAACACCACAUGGAUAUCCCUUGUGCAGCAAGAGAUGCCAAUAGAGAGAGGAUGGCUCUGGAAGGGUUCCUGUCUCAAUCUUAUGCUGCAGAAAUCAGGCUCUGCAGUACAUAAAGGUACAUAAAGCAGGUACAUAAAGCAGGCACAGGGUUUGGGCGUGGUCCCUUUCCUGGGUAAGGAUGCUCCUAGGGUUAUUCCAAAAAUGUUUCGAGAAUGCGGAAGGGAAACUGGGAUGAUUUCCAGGUGUGAGGUUGCUCCUUUUUGUUUGAUUUCCGAGGCUGCAACGAGAUGAUGCUGUGGCCAUAGUGUGAGGAUGGGCAUAUGUUGGUGUGCUUAGUAUUUGUGUUGCCUCUUCUUGCAUCAAAGCUACCAAAAAGAGCCUUUGGAUGGUGGCAGGAGGGGAAAUGCAGGAUGGAGUCUUGCAAGUGGGACGCUGCCAUCCCAUCCCAUAGAGGCAGAGCAACAUACUAGUCCUUUCUUUAUCCCCAAGGUCAAAGAAAGGAGAGUUGUGCUGCAGUAUCAUACGGUGCACAGUUGCAUUUAUGCCAUGCAUUUCUAAAUUCAUCAUAGUUUAGAUAAUUGAUCAUCAGAAUGGCAGAAACCCCAUGUCAGCCCACGUGUCUCAGGGGACAGAGCUGGCUCUGUGGGCAUCUUCCAAGGCCUACAUACCCUGCCCCGUACCAGUGCAUUCAGAAAAUCUGACCAUGCAGAGCUAUGAGCACUGGUGACACUCCGCCCAUCCAUAUGUCUGUCCAGGUCAUGUGUCCGAUUCCUCAGCAGGAACCAUAACUGCAGGUGAGGGACUCUCCUUUGCUCCUACUGACCCCAUCCCUUCACCUUUUCCCUAUCCCUCUCCUCUUUUCCCAUCUCAUCUCUAUGGCGCUGUAACACCCCAACUUCUGCGUCACUCCCAUCUGACCCCAUCAACCUCUGUGUCCCCAGACACCAACACUC
ensembl:lncRNA